AUGACAUUGGAGGUGAGCGAGGGAUAUGAGACAGAGACUGUGACGGGGUUAAUGGGAAAAUUAGGAGAGAGAGAGAUGAGAGAGCUGCUAGUGUGGUGCAUAAAGUACGGCAUUCGCCCUAAUGAGCGUGUCGUGGGUAUGAUGUCACCUGAGGCAGCUCUCCAUACUCGUCCUGAGGUGCGUGCUGGUUGUCUGGUAAAGACUGUGCCUGCGCCCAGAAACAGGCCUCCUGCAUGUCUUCCCAGCCCUGCACAUCCUGUACCUACGCCCAGAACCAAGCCUCCUGCAUGUCUUCCCAUCCUGGUCAAGCCCGUGCCUCCUCCACGGACCAGUCCUCCAGUGGGUCUCCCUAUCCUGGUCAAGCCCGUGUCUCCUCCAGGGACCAGUCCUCCAGUGGGUCUCCCUAUCCUGGUCAAACCUGUGUCUCCUCCACAGACCAGUCCUCCAGUGGGUCUCCUUAUCCUGGUCAAGCCCAUGUCUCCUCCACGGACCAGUCCUCCAGUGGAUCUCCCUAUCCUGGUCAAGCCCGUGUCUCCUCCACGGACCGGUCCUCCAUUGGGUCUCUCCACCCUGGUCUCUCCUGUGCCACCUCCUCAAACCAGGCCUCCAGCGGGCCUUCCCAGACUGGUGAGUCCAGGGCCUGCGCCCAGAGCCAGGCCUCCGUUAUGUCUCCCCAGCCUGGUGAAUCCUGAGUCGGAGCUGCCCGCCAGUCAACAGUCGUCGGAGCUGCCCGCCAGUCAACAGUCGUCGGAGCUGCCCGCCAGUCAACAGUCGUCGGAGCUGCCCGCCAGUCAACAGUCGUCGGAGCUGCCCGCCAGUCAACAGUCGUCGGAGCUGCCCGCCAGUCAACAGUCGUCGGAGCUGCCCGCCAGUCAACAGUGGCCGGACUGCCCUGAACUGCCAGAGUGGCCGGACUGCCCUGAACUGCCAGAGUGGCCGGACUGCCCUGAACUGCCAGAGUGGCCGGACUGCCCUGAACUGCCAGAGUGGCCGGACUGCCCUGAACUGCCAGAGUGGCCGGACUGCCCUGUUCUGCCAGAGUGGCCGGACUGCCCUGUUCUGCCAGAGUGGCCGGACUGCCCUGUUCUGCCAGAGUGGCCGGACUGCCCUGUUCUGCCAGAGUGGCCGGACUGCCCUGUUCUGCCAGAGUGGCCGGACUGCCCUGUUCUGCCAGAGUGGCCGGACUGCCCUGUUCUGCCAGAGGUGCCCGCCUGCCCUGAUCUGCCAGGGUGCCCGGCCUGUCAGGAUCUGCCAGAGUGGUCCUCCUGCCCUCCGGCCCAGCCCGAGUGGUCCUCCUGCCCUCCGGCCCAGCCCGAGUGGCCCGCAUGUCCUCCGGCCCAGCCCGAGUGGCCCGCAUGUCUUCCGACCCAGCCCGAGUGGCCCGCAUGUCUUCCGACCCAGCCAGAGUGGUCCGUCUGCCAGGGUCAGCCCGAGUGGCCCGUCUGCCCGGCGCAGCGAUCGGCGCCAACAGAGUGGGCGACGACGAAGGUGGAGCGAGGUCCACGUCCUGCACCUGAGCCACCUCCAGGAUAG
rnacentral:lncRNA from 8 species